UACCAAUACCAGGCUUGGAGAAGCAACUCCAAAUCUUCUUCUUCGGUCUCUUCUUUCUCUACAUUCCUAGUCCCUCCUUUUCAAUCUAAACUGAACCGAUAUCUUCGGCUUCAAACGAAGAGGAAAAUGGUCGGAGCCUCCCACCGUACCGGCGGAAUCGCUGCCAGAUCUGACAAAACUGCGACUAUCAAAUUUCUCUGCAGUUAUGGAGGCAAGAUCCUUCCUCGUUAUCCUGAUGGAAAACUCCGUUAUAUUGGUGGUGAAACUCGUGUCCUUGCCGUCGAUCGUUCCAUUCCUUUCUCUGAACUGUUGUCGAAGCUGGGACAAUUGUGUGGAACGUGUGUGAGUCUUCGUUGUCAAUUGCCUUCUGAGGAUCUGGAUGCUUUGGUAUCGAUAACCUCCGAUGAGGACCUAGCGAAUCUCAUCGAAGAAUACGAUCGAGCAGCCUCGCCGCCGUCUUCUUUGAAGAUCAGAGCGUUCCUUUCACUGCCUAAAUCCGUGAAAAAAAAUCCUCUAUCUAGUUCGUCGGCCUCUUCAUCAUCGUCGUCCUCAAAACCUUCAUCUCCAAUAACUGCUAUAUCCUCUCCAAGGAUCUCAACGCAGGUUCCUGACUAUUGCGUCCAUCAGAUCCCAACGCCAGUGAGGUUUUCGUACCGCUGGAAGAAGUCUCAAUCAAAGGUUCCUCACUGCUCGUAUCAUCUUCAAGGGAACCCUAGCCAUAUCUACCUCAUCCACAAUGGCAAUCACUGGCAAUAACACCAACUAGAUUGAGGGAAUUCAAAGCAAACAUAAAUAUAAGAUAAAACGAAAUAGAAAAAAGGAAAUUCCAAGCAACAAAAAGGUUGUAUGAUCCGUAGCUAUUGUGAUGGUGAGUUUCUUCGUCGAAAUAUCAGAAUCCAUUCCCAACUUGCAUUACAGCUUCCAUUUACCAUUAGGUCCGUCCAUCACACGUAUUUCCUCUCUGCCAGAUUUAAGAGAUGACUCCAUUGGACCAAACUAAGAGUUCGAGACGAUAAGGAGCAACAGCUGCACUUCAGCAAUUGGAUGUACAUGUGAAGAUAAUCUGCUAUUGUCAGAAACAGAGAUCUCUUAGAUCAAUUUGCUCUGUUUUCUGUACCAAGAGUUUCUUUCACGAUCACAGGUAUUCCUCUAUUCUUUCCCUCUCAUUUUUAAUGAAAUAAGACAAGAUCAUACUCUGGAAAGUUUUGGGAGGAAUAACACUUAAAAUUAAAGACCUCGAAUCUGGUAGUAUUAGGAGCAAGUUGCAUCCAUCUAUGGAGAUCGGUUAGUUUCUUUAUUUGGAGAUUGGAUUCAUUCCCUGAACUUGAAAAUUAGAGGAAAAGUCCAAAAGUGGACAGCAAGGACUAUGGUUGAGAAUGCAUUUGGGACCAUAUUGAGAUCAGUUUUUGACAAAAAAGGACAAAGGAUAGGACCCAUUCAUAGCAUCAAGGAUAAGACUUGUGGGUUACGCUCCAAUAUCUAAAUUGUCACCAACAGGGAAACCCAUAGAAACCAAGACAAAUGAAAGGCACCAGAAAUAUGUUUCAUUUCAUCUAAAAUUUUACAAGAAACGAAAUCAUAAUCUUAUGAGGACAAGUAAAUGAAACAGUUGAGUAAUUCAUUUCUCUCCAUACGUGGUAUGAUGAGGUCCAGUCCAACUAUAAUGGAAAUUUAUUCCAUUUCUAAAUAUUUGUUUUCGUUUCAUCUAAAAUGACCGGUAAAUGUAAUCUGUUUUGUAGAACCAUUUGAUUUUUUAUUUUUAGUUUUUUAGUUUUUAGAGAUUAAGAUGAUGACCACCACACUUCAUCACCCUAUGUCAAAGUUUGAAUACUAAGGUUUUGUUUGGAGCA